rnacentral:sRNA from 2 species
GUAAUUCCUCGUUAGGAAGAGGCGUUUGCACAAACAAAAGCUACUGCCCAGAAACGUCGAAAGACGCCAAUGCGGUAGACCAGGUUUAGUCGGAUUAAGGCUUUAUCUAAUGUAGCUGGUUGUCAUUUUCGACCUACGUUGUGCACUGCUGAAACUCAAACCAGGGGAAAGUC